GUACGGGAGGCAGCAGUGGGGAAUUUUGGACAAUGGGGGAAACCCUGAUCCAGCAAUGCCGCGUGUGCGAAGAAGGCCUUCGGGUUGUAAAGCACUUUUGUCAGGGAAGAAAUCCUUUGGGCUAAUACCCUAGGGGGAUGACGGUACCUGAAGAAUAAGCACCGGCUAACUACGUGCCAGCAGCCGCGGUAAUACGUAGGGUGCGAGCGUUAAUCGGAAUUACUGGGCGUAAAGCGUGCGCAGGCGGUUGUGUAAGACAGGUGUGAAAUCCCCGGGCUUAACCUGGGAAUUGCAUUUGUGACUGCACGACUAGAGUGUGUCAGAGGGGGGUGGAAUUCCACGUGUAGCAGUGAAAUGCGUAGAUAUGUGGAGGAACACCAAUGGCGAAGGCAGCCCCCUGGGAUAACACUGACGCUCAUGCACGAAAGCGUGGGGAGCAAACAGGAUUAGAUACCCUGGU
rnacentral:rRNA from 1 species